UUUGUGCAGUAUCCUGUAUUUGAAUUUUUUUUCUCUUUUAUUCCUACAGUUUUCAGUCCAGAGUCAUGCUCUAAGUCAUUUGCAAGCAUUUCAUUUUAUUUGCGGCAAAAUCUGCAGCAAUUCCUGCAUCCACCAAAAUAUGUAGAUCCCAAACCGGCAAAUCAUUUUCAGGACUAUUCUCAAGCAGAGGAUUCACUCAAGCGGGUGAAAGAGUCAGAGAUUUUCCUGUAUAAUCAGAGUCCAGCAUCAGGAAAUAAAGGCAUUGCAUGCAUUGCUUUGGCUCUUGUUGAUCGGGAAAACGCACUGAUUGAACAUUCAAACUACCCAAAACUCAAUCCUGAUAGUUACCGAGAAGACCCUUUGACUGUACAACAGUUUGAAGCUUUGACUGCAACCAACCUUUAUGAGCCCAACCCAACUUUAUCAGCUCCAGGGCCUGAAGCUCUCAUUGAGUUCCGAAUUUGGAAACAAGGACGCGUCAAUUUGGAAACCCUAUGUCAGAAGCUGAAAGGUAGCGUUCGUCACUCCCUGUGGGACUUGCUCAUGGAGUUGAAAUUAUUAACGGCCCCCUUAACGGAGCACGAUAGAGACGACGGUGUCCAUGGUCAGCUCCUGGAUGUGCACAGUCAAUUAAUGCCGCAAUGGAUGCAAUUUGCAUCCGACUUAGGUGUACCGUCAGUUCUUGUCAACACUGUAACUUUAAGUGCUCGACAUCCUAUUGGCAUAACAGUGAAAGAAUUGAAUCAAAUCAUCGCUUUCCAUGAUAUCGAGGGAUUUUUAUUCUACGAAUCAGAUUCUUCUGGAGUGCACAAAUCUUUUGAGAGAAGCUCCAACAUCGAAUUAUCUUCUUGCAGAUCCUGCCUUCUCAUUGGUAGAAAUUUGGUUCAAUGGAAAUCCUGCCUUUCUACCGACGAGAACUUCCACAUUGAUAAGUUAGAUCCGAAAGCUUUAAAAGUACUCCAAAAGUUUGCACCACUUCUGAGGAAAACUGAUGAUGGCUCUUACCAAUUUGUGUCACGGCAGCGGUAUCUAUUGAUCAGUGUGACAAAUCAAAAGGUAUGGUGUGAAGAGUCUUUGAGUUCCUGAUCCACUGUUUUUAAAAAGCAGACACUUUCUGUAGCAUAAUUAGAAAACGGAAAAUCUAGUAUUUCAAUGGAGAAUUUGCACACAAAAAUUUUAUUGCUUCAUCUGAAAGUGCGUAAUAAGCUGAGUUCGCAGUAUUUUUCAUAAUUUUUUCUGGCAUGGGAAAUCGGAGAAAAUUGAUUUAAAAGUGAGAAAACAUGCUGCCUUAU
rnacentral:lncRNA from 1 species